CAACAGGAACAUCUAAUGGUGGAUUCAUCCUUUAGAAGCUGAUGGUUUCAGUCAUGCUUUUGUUUUGACCAGGAAGUUGCUGUGUUCUUGCUACUCUUGCAUGAUUGAAUCAAUAAAAUAUUUUACUUUCCAAUA